rnacentral:tRNA from 1 species
CGCGGGGUAGAGAAAUCCGGCAUCUCGUUUGGCUCAUAACCAAAAGAUUGGAGGUUCAAAUCCUCCCCCCGCAA